GUUCGGUGAGUGCACCAUUCACUCUUACUUUGGCAAUGAUAUAGCGCUUCUAUCCACUUCAUUAUGUUCUCCCCAAAGCCUAUCUCCCAUAGUGUAGCCAUAAGGAACGACCGGUUUACCCGGUUGAACGCUUUCUCAGCAUCCGUGGAGAGCAAUAGCAGGUUGUCUUUCGACCGCUUCGCCAGGUGUUGAAUGGAUUGGACCCUGAGAGUGCUAUCUCUGGCCUCACGUCCGG